UUCCCUAGUCUUCCCCAUCUCACUAAUAGGUACUCUUGGUCUUUCUCAUCAUCAAACCCAACAUUUUCCCCAACCUUCCCUGUUUCACUGAACUAUAUCACUCUCUACCCAAUGCAUAGAGAGAAAAACAUAGGUGUUAUCCUGGAUUUCUUUUUUUCUCACCUGUUAGAUCCAAUUUACCACCACAUUCUUUCAGUUCUACUUACUAACCUGAAUCUGUCUGUACCUUUUUCUUUUCUUUUUUUUUUUUUUUUAGUUCUUUUUUUUGGUCUUUUUGCCCUUUUAUAGGGCUGCUCCCACAGCAUAUGGAGGCUCUCAGGCUAGGGGUCGAAUCAGAGCUGUGGCCACUGGCCUACGCCACAGCCACAGCAACACGGGAUCCGAGCUGUGUCUGCAAGCUACACCACAGCUCACGGCAACGCCAGAUCCUUAACCCACUGAGCAAGACCAGGGACCAAACCUGCAACCACUGUGCCACAAUGGGAACUCCCUGUCUGUCUUUUUUUUUUUUUUUUUUUGCUAUUUCUUUGGGCCGCUCCCGCGGCAUAUGGAGAUUCCCAGGCCAGGGGUCGAAUCGGAGCUGUAGCCACCGGCCUACGCCAGAGCCACAGCAACGCGGGAUCCGAGCCGCGUCUGCAACCUACACCACAGCUCACGGCAAAGCCGGAUCGUUAACCCACUGAGCAAGGGCAGGGACCGAACCCGCAACCCCAUGGUUCCUAGUCGGAUUCGUUAACCACUGCACCACGACGGGAACUCCGGAACUCCCUGUCUGUACCUUUCUAUCUCUACCACCUCUCUCAUCUGGACUACUGAAAGGCUUCUAAUGUAGCUCCUUCUUUCUUUUGACCUGCUAUAGUCUCUAAUCUGCAUAGCAACCACAGUGGCCAUUUUAAUACACAAAUGGUAGCACUUCGUUUGCUAAUAGAAAAAUCUCCUUCAAUGGCUUUCCUUGUACUUGGAUUAAAAACCGUGGCUGAACUGACCCUUGCUUGCCUUUCCAGGACUCUCCUCCUGGCCCCCUAAGCUUCAGCUACACUUUUUUUCUGUUCCUAUAAAUCUGUGAUCCUACUUUCUGUCUUAAGGUCUUCUCAUUUACUGUUCCCUGCUCCCAAAUGAGCGACUCCCCCUGCCUGCCUCAUCGGCUUCUUAAUGUCAUUCACAUUCCAGGAUGCCUCCCUCCUUCAUUGAUCACCCAGUCACUCCUGGAUCAUCCUAUUCCAGUCCUCUGCAAUAGUGCUCACCACUGCUGCUGUUCUUGUUUUCUUCUACUUAAAAAGUAAAGCCUGUUGGAACAGGAACAUUGUCCUGUUCUCACUGCUAUAUUCCCAGUACUACAGAAAAUAAAUAUUUAUUGAAAUAUUUUGGAUCAUAUUAUCAUAGUGCAUGAAUAUUUGGGACUACACUAAGUACUAUGAGAAUAUUUAAGCUAUUUGGAUUUAAAAACACAGAGGGGCUUAGUUGACACCUUGAAGAGUGAGAAGAGUCCAAAGCAAGUAAAAUGGUGAAUGGGGAAAAGUCUAGAGUUACUGAUGAUUUUAUAAUGUCAUAUAUAGUAAAUAAAAGUAACUUCUAAAUAUUCCAAGGAAAUGAAUCAUAAAUUGUUUCAUUCAGGGAGUUUGGGAUGGGGAGAGUGUUGCAUUAGUUCUGUAACAUCCUUUAGGAUUUUGAAUGGUUAACUCUAGCUCAAAAAGUACAAAAGUAUAUUUUACUUGUUUAUUUUUUUUAUCUUUUUAGGGCUGCACCUACAGCAUAUGGAGAUUCCAGGCUAGGGGUCCAAUUGGAGCUGUAGCCUCUGGCCUACGCCAGAGCCACAGCAACAUGGGAUCCAAGCUGCAUCUGCGACCUACACCACAGCUCACAGAAAUACUGGAUCCUUAACCCACUGAGCAAGGCCAGGGAUCGAACCCACAUCAUCAUGGAUGGUAGUCGGGUUUGUUAAACCGCUGAGCCACAAAGGGAACUCGACAACUGCCAGGAGGUGUUUAGUAGUUGAAGAGGCAGAACUAGGCAGUUAGAGGAUAAAUCAGACAGCAAGUAGCCAGAAGAAUCAGGAAAAAAUUUGGAAGAAACCAGGUAAAUGAAAGAAUUGUCCAGGAUUUAUAGCAAAGAAUAAAUGUUGGUCAACUUCUCCUGCCUUUGUUCAGCUCAUCCUAGUGAUUGAGAGCUAAUCUCAAAGUUCCCUAGGCCUACCAGUGGUAAUACAAAGCAGCUGGUAGAUUAUGAGUGUAAGAUUUGGUGGAAAGAAGGACUUAAGUGAGGGUGGAGCAGACGUAUUUCUGGGGUAGAAGCUUUUGUUUGGUAGAGAGGAUCAGAUGUUCUUAGAUCCAACACAGAUCAUUGAUCAUUUAGUCCAUUGUCUCCCCUGAUUUUCACACAAAAGAUCUCUUGAAUUGUUUUUCCAUUGUGAAGCUGAUAUUACAAAGAUAUUUUUCCUCAAAACCCUGAAUUAUUAAUAAUUUGUCUCCUCAGGAGUUUCCGUCGUGGCUCAGUGGUUAAUGAAACCAACUAGGACCCUUGAGGUUGCAGGUUCAAUCCCUGGCCUUGCUCAGUGGGUUAAGGAUCCGGCAUUGCCCUGAGCUGUGGCUCGGAUACCGUGUUGCUGUGGCUUUGGAGUAGGCUGGUGGCUACAACUUCGAUUAGACCCUUAGCCUGGGAACCUCCAUAUGCUGCAGGAAGCGGCCCUAGAAAAGCCAAAAAGCCAAAAGCCAAAAAAAUAAAAAAUAAAUAAUAAUAAUAAUAAUAAUUUGUCUCCUCAUUUUUUUAACCAAGGAAUGUAAUUAGAGUAGCAUAUGCUAUCUGUACUGAAUUGACAUAAGUUCAAUU
rnacentral:lncRNA from 1 species